rnacentral:rRNA from 1 species
GACGUAGGGCGCGAGCGUUGUCCGGAUUUAUUGGGCGUAAAGAGCUCGUAGGCGGCUUGUCGCGUCGACUGUGAAAUCCCGCGGCUCAACUGCGGGUCUGCAGCCGAUACGGGCAGGCUAGAGUUCGGUAGGGGAGACUGGAAUUCCUGGUGUAGCGGUGAAAUGCGCAGAUAUCAGGAAGAACACCCGUGGCGAAAGCGGCUCUCUGGAACGGUACUGACGCUGAGACGCGAAAGCGUGGGGAGCGAACAGG